CCUGAAUAGAAAAGAAAAGAUAAUCAAAAAAAUUAACGUUACUCAAGGUUUUUCAUUUUACUAUUAAUUUUAUAAUUUAUUCAACCAACAAUAAUUGUAAACCUGUCAUCAAGUUCAUCAUCAGUACUGUAUUAGCUUAAUUAUGCCGCCAAAUCACCUCGAAAUAUCAAUUAAUGCCUUUGAGAUAUGCUUUUCUCAAAUCAAAACAAUGUUUCAAUCUCAACUUACAGCUGACAUUGUUUUUCUAUUUACAAGUGCUUACAGACUCAACAGAAUCAAAUCUUUUAUUAAUUAAAGUUAUGUGAUUAAUUUUCUAUUCUAUUGCUUCAAUGAUUGUAAAUAAUAAAAUAAUUAAUACUCGCCUAUUUUGGAACCAAAUUUUAAUCUGAUUCUCCGUCAAAUCCAGUAAAUCAGCAAGUUGGAACCUUUUACCACGACUUAUAUAAUCGCAAACAUGAUAUUCCAUUUCCAGUCGAAGAGUCUGUUCAUGAGUAAAUGUCGUUCGCUGUCGACGAGGACCACGAUUCUGUCGUAUUGGACCAAGGCUGUUGCUACUGUUAUGAUGAUGACCGUUAUGGUGGGGAUGAUGAGGAAGGAUAUAUUUCCAGACUUGUUCAACUAAAAUAUAGAAACAGAAACAUCAGUUUAUUACCAAAAUAGUUUCAACAUUGUACUCAAUUCAAGUGCAUACAUGAGGUUCAUCUAAUUUUUAAUUCUACAAAUUUGACGCAAAUUACUGGUUGAUUGUGUUGUUAUGCUGAUUGAUUUCUCUAGUUUAAAUUUUGGAGGAGAGACAAUUAAGAUCUAUCAAAAUUGAUGGGUCAAAACACUGGGCCUCGCGUAACCACAGUAAAUCAAUGAUAAUUUGAAAAGACUGGAAGAACAAGGAAAAAGCAUUUCCAAAAGAGUAACCGAUGGUAAAAGAAGAAAGAGAAAAGGAAAGCGAAAACAACCGGAAGAUUAAUUGAUGGUCAUAAGUUUCACUAUCAUCAUGAGGGGUCACAAUUAAUGGUUUUAAGCAAUAAUUGGCUAUAAAAUUAAUGGACUCUAUAUUUCAAUACAAAUCAUUUUCUUGGUCAUUUGUUUCAUUACUUUUCACCUCAUAAACAAUCCAUACUUGAUUAUUAACUGAUAGUUAACACUUUCAUCACUCAUUUAUCAAACUAUUUUACAUAUUUUAUGUCUAGAUCAUAAGCUUUGCUAAAAACAUUGACAGAUUGUCGAGAUUAAGAUUCUAGGUCAACAAAUUUAUUCAUUUUCAUCACCGUUUGCAUGUUUUAAUAUUCAAAAUUAGCUUCAACACUUUAAUCCCUCUGAUUUAUGUCUAGCAGUUAAAAAGUUCAUCAAUGUUUCAUCAACUUUAAUAACUUUCUAAUUUCUCAUUUGCAGAUUGAUUGAAUGCAUCAAAUAAAGACAACUUACCAUUUGA